UCACUGCUGAAGAGUCCCACAAUAGGACGGAACAGCAGUCCAGUGC
rnacentral:hammerhead_ribozyme from 1 species